GCCUACCAUGGUUUUAACGGGUAACGGGGAAUUAGGGUUCGAUUCCGGAGAGGGAGCCUGAGAAACGACUACCACAUCCAAGGAAGGCAGCAGGCGCGCAAAUUACCCAAUCCCGAUACGGGGAGGUAGUGACAAUAAAUAACAAUACAGGGCUCUUAUGGGUCUUGUAAUUGGAAUGAGUACAAUUUAAAUCUCUUAACGAGGAACAAUUGGAGGGCAAGUCUGGUGCCAGCAGCCGCGGUAAUUCCAGCUCCAAUAGCGUAUAUUAAAGUUGUUGCAGUUAAAAAGCUCGUAGUUGAAUUUCGAAAUUUUUUUAUCGGUUGAAUCAACAGGUUCGUACUGAUUUUAAGAAUUUCUACCUUCUGGAGAACCUUAAUGUCAUUUAUUUGGUGUUUUGGGAAACCAGGACUGUUACCUUGAAAAAAUUAGAGUGUUUAAAGCAGGCUUAUGUCUGAAUAUAUUAGCAUGGAAUAAUGAAAUAGGACGGCAUGGUUCUAUUUUGUUGGUUUCUAGGAUCACCGUAAUGAUUAAUAGGGAUAGUUGGGGGCAUUAGUAUUCAAUUGUCAGAGGUGAAAUUCUUGGAUUUAUUGAAGACUAACUUCUGCGAAAGCAUUUGCCAAGGAUGUUUUCAUUAAUCAAGAACGAAAGUUAGGGGAUCGAAGACGAUCAGAUACCGUCGUAGUCUUAACCAUAAACUAUGCCGACUAGGAAUCGGACGAAGUUAAUUUUUUAAUGACUCGUUCGGCGCCUUACG
rnacentral:rRNA from 1 species